GAUGAACGCUGGCGGCGUGCCUAAUACAUGCAAGUCGAGCGAACGGACGAGAAGCUUGCUUCUCUGAUGUUAGCGGCGGACGGGUGAGUAAAACGUGGAUAACCUACCUAUAAGACUGGGAUAACUUCGGGAAACCGGAGCUAAUACCGGAUAAUAUUUUGAACCGCAUGGUUCAAAAGUGAAAGACGGUCCUGCUGUCACUUAUAGAUGGAUCCGCGCUGCAUUAGCUAGUUGGUAAGGUAACGGCUUACCAAGGCAACGAUGCAUAGCCGACCUGAGAGGGUGAUCGGCCACACUGGAACUGAGACACGGUCCAGACUCCUACGGGAGGCAGCAGUAGGGAAUCUUCCGCAAUGGGCGAAAGCCUGACGGAGCAACGCCGCGUGAGUGAUGAAGGUCUUCGGAUCGUAAAACUCUGUUAUUAGGGAAGAACAUAUGUGUAAGUAACUGUGCACAUCUUGACGGUACCUAAUCAGAAAGCCACGGCUAACUACGUG
rnacentral:rRNA from 1 species